GCCCCAAUCCCCCUUUUUUUACACCAAAUUUUCAACCUUUUAUCCCUAAAAUCCCCAGCUUUAACCCCCAAAUCCCCCUCUUUAAACUCCAAAACUGCCAUUUCUGACCGCAAAAAUCCCCAUGUUUAAUCCCAAAUUCCCCGUUUUUAACCAAAAUCCCAACUUUUGACCCCUUAUUGCUGGACAUUUUUGUAUUCAUUUUUUUCCCCUUUAUCCCAGUAUGGGAACUGUCAGGUCCCAGCCUGAGCCGGUGAUCUUGUACCUUGUGAGGGGUGUAGCCAACCCUGCCAGCACAGGUGGGAGCCGUUCAGCUGUGGGAUUGGAGGGGUGGAGCCUGGCUGCAUCCCUCCCUGGGCUCAUUUAAGGGCUGGCAGCUGUAGGGGCAGCAUCUGUACCUGGUGGCUGUUUCCUUUGGAGUGUGGGGUGAGCCUUGGUCCUCCGAAAGGCGUAUGAAAUUUUUUCUUUGUUUUGGGGCUGGGGUCUCUGCCUUUCUUGGGGGAUCUGAAACUGCUUUUAAGCAGCUGUAUCUGCUGUGCAUGUCUCUACGAUGCCCUUCAGUUCUCUAAAGGAGAUGAAGGGGUUAUCUCCCCUUCUCUGACCUGGUGACGGAGGAGCCAAUGUACAUUCCUUCCUUUCACUACAGCCUCAUUUCUGGAAUGCUUCAAUUAAUCCCCUGGUAAUGCUGGUCAGCUGACCGAGCAUUGCAGCUCUGGGAAUGCCUGGAGCUGCUGCCCUGUUCCACAAAAGUGUUCUGCAUUCUCAGGAUCCUGUUUGCACCUUUACUUCUAACCUUGCUUCCUUCUGCUGGAGCCUCUGUUCUGUCUUUCAUGGUUCUCACCUUACUAUCUUUGCCCUCGGGUUCUGAACUCAGUUUCUCUGCUCCCACAUCGUCCCAGCCCAUUUUGUGACUGCAGUGAACAGUGCCAUGCAUUAAUUCCACCCAUGCAGAGAGUUGUUCAAGGCCAUUCUGUGCAUCAUGAUCACGUACUAAAUUCUGUUCUGUGUCUCUCUUGAUCUCAUCCCAUCUCAUAACUCAGUGGGGUUGAAGGGUUGCCAGGGCUCCUCUAAUUAGUAGCUUAAGCACUGGGAAAUCUACCGGAGCAGGUAACGGAACAUCACGAGCCCCUUAUUUGUGCAUUGCUUGCAUGCAGGCAGCUUUAGCAAUGGCUGUGGGAGGCUCAUGGAGUGGGGGUUGCAAGGGGCUCACCUCGCUCCAUGGGGUCUGUUCUCCCAGCCCCAUAAGCUACAUGGUUGGUGAUAGAGUGAGGUGCAUCAGCCGGGUCCUAAGCUGAAGAAAACUCCUGGACUCCAGUAGCCCUUGGCUUCAUCCUCACUCGGCAUAAUACAGUCUUCAUCACUCGAGCAUGCUGACCACAGAUGUUCUGUUCCUGUUUUGCCUGGUUCUCUCCCAUAUCUUCCUUACGAAGUUGUCAAUGCUAAUGGAUCCCAGCGCAUAGUCAUCAGAAUGCAUCGUGGCUGACCAUCUCAGGGUCCUGUGGUUCUUUCUGUUUUAACAGCAGAUGCUAAAACUUUCUUUGUUUUUACAGAGAAAAAAGGAUUGUUCUCUUCUGGACCACUGUAGUUGGGAUCACCCCAGGCAUCUCCAUCCCAGUUCUCAGGGGAUGAUACCUGAGCCCCCACCCCCCUUCCCCCCCCAUCCCUGACUCCCAUUAAAUAGUUAGCUCUGCAGCCAUGGGACUCAGCUGCAUGAUAAAGUGAGGCCCCCGGUCUGCCAAAUACUGGGAUUGGCACAGGGAGGCUCUGUGACAGAUGUGGAUCAUCCCAACCGGAGUACUCGGUGAGUUUCUCAGAACUGCUGAGCACGCAGGCUUCACCGGCUGCCCCAAUGACCAAAUGCCUUUGCAUCAUCAUGUCUCACCAUCCCAGACAUCUCAUUCUGCUGCUGCUGGCGGCAGCGGAGAACUGCGGUGCUCCUGGGCGGUGCUCUGUGGCUCUUCAUGAAGUCGGCAAGAAAUGAAAGCUAGAUUUCCUGGAAUGCCCUGGAACCCAACUUGUCCGUCUGGUAACUGGCUGCCCAUACAGGUAAGGGCAAUGUACACCUACCAAUUUUCACAGAUUACAUAGCGUGGUUCAAUGUAGAGCUCCUAGAGCUCAUUACUGUGCUUAAGGGUUCCCUACAGGCUGCUUCUCCUUUUCCUCCUGUGUUGUCCUUGCCUCUGACCUGUCUAAACUAAUCCAGACAAGUCACUGUAAAAGUAACAUUAAUGGUAAUCUCAAUCCUAAAGAUAACCCUAACCUCAACACUAACAUAAUGCUAAUUGUAACUGUAAUUACCCUAUUUAUUAAUGUAUAAACCCUAUUUAAAACCUUAAAAUCCCAACCCUAACUGUAACAGCCCAAACGUCUAAUAAAGCUGACUGCAUUCAUUGGUCAGAGUACACCUGCUCAGAGUACACCUAAAGACAUUGCACUCGCAGACCCUACACCUACACUGUAGCACUGCCACCCCCACCCCUCUCCCUCCCAUCUCCUGGGCACCGUUUUCAAGAUAGCUCUGGAACUCGAUGGCUCAGAGAAGGAAGGCCCUCAGACCCAACUUAGUUUACUGGCUGCCCUAGUAGGUAAGGGCAAUGUACACCCACCAGUGUUUACCUAUUAGAUAGCAUGGCUCAACCUAGUGUUCCCAGAGCUCAUUAAUGUACUUGAGGGUGCCCUACAGGCUGCCUGUCCUCCUGCUCUUAUGCUCUCCUUGUCUUGGGCCUUUCCCUGCAGUGUUCUCCUUGCGUUUGCUGUCUCCGGCUAUUUUCAUCACCCUCGCCUGGGCCUUUAUUGCGGUGUUCUCCUUGCCCUCACUUUUGCCCUCAUUUUGGCGUUCCCUUCGGCAUUCUAAUUGCCUUUGCCCGUGUCUUUACCUUCCCUAUCUGUUCUCUUUGCCUUGGCCUUGGUGUUCCCUUGGGUUUUCUGCUUGCCUUUUCUUCACUGGGAUUGGCUGAGAGGCAGAUUUCGUGUUAGUCUUGAUCUCAACCCUAAGUUUAGUGGGAGCUCUGGACAUUAUUAACCCACAAUGUAACUUAAAGCCUAACCCUUAACUGGAUGUUAAAAAGUCUCUAAUGCUCAGUGUAGCAAUAAAAACAAUGCCUGAAGUUUUCUAAGUAACCUUAAGCCUAAUCAUAAUGUAAGAAAA